AUAUUAUCUCUAACAUUCUGCAACUGCUAUUCUUUUUUUCAAUCACCUUGAGCAGUUUAUUUUUUAAAAAGGAGAGCAAGAUAGAAAUUAUAAAAUAUUAGCACGUGUAAAGUUAAAAAUUUUGAAUUCAGAAUAUGUAACUUUUUGUUUCUUGUGUUUUUAGUGUUGCAGCUAAGAAACCAUUUACCUAACCCAAGGUCACAAAUACUUUUUUCCUAUGAUUUUUUACACGGUGAAACUCCGUCUCUACUAAAAAUACAAAAAUUAGCUGGGCAUGGUAGGUAGCGCACGCCUGUAGUCCCAGCUACUCGGGAGGCUGUAAUUAGACACAUAAAGCUAUUUGCCCCUAUACUAAAUCAUGUUUUUAGCCUGGGGCCCAAGGCUGGGCUUGGUCUUGAUCUCCUGACCUUGUGAUCUACCCCCUCGGUCUCCCAAAGUGCUGGGAUUACAGGCGUGAGCCACCGCACCCGCCCGAAAGCCAGGUUUCUUACUACUGGAUUAGGAAACUACAGAUAAGCAAUGGGGGAAGGCCAGAACAAACCAUGUGAUGCUAGAUUAGAUCAAGAGAUAUCGGUUUAGCUUAAAAUAGAUACAGACAGAGAGAUACUAAAAUAAUUAUAGAUAUGUAUGUAUACGUGGUUUAGCAAUAUAUACACGUAUUUCCUAGCUUCA
rnacentral:lncRNA from 1 species